rnacentral:tRNA from 1 species
GGCCUGUUAGCUCAGUCAGUUGAGCAUGGUGCUAACAAGGCCAAGGUUGUGGGUCCAAUUCCCAUUCGGUCCC